CUUAGGAGAAAUUCUAGUACAUGCAAACUUACUUUUGAAUCCUAUUUUGGCAACUACACCAAUUUUAGCUUCAGUAUAGAGGUAUAAUUUGGAGCCCUUCUUAUUGGAAGUAUUGGCUCAGCCUAAACUUGGAUGGACAACUGGCAGAAGGUUCAAGAACAAUAAUAAGAGGUUCUUUUGGGCGUUGAUUUGCAUGACUCCAUGAGCCUGAGGACUUUGGGCUGAAGAAAGAGAGAAACAGAAUCUAGAGGUAAGAGAAAUGGAAGGGAGGGGAGGAGAUGGGAUGGGGUGGCAUUUGGCGCCUCCUUCCAACAAUCUCUGACUCCGGGGGCCUAAUUACCUAGAUUGGGCUUUUGGGGGGAGGGGCUAAAAGUAUGAGUUGAUGACGCUAAUUUUUGUGGCAUUUUUGGAGGAGCAUCAAAGGAAAUAUAGUGCCUAUUACUUGAAGGUUUGGAAUUUUGGGGGUACUUGGGGAGAUGGCACCUGGGGCAGAGUGCCUAAGGAACUGGUGCCAGGGCAUGCACCCUCCUGCCACUGAUGGAACAGCCCUUGGCUGGGGACACAGGUGGGAUGUGUCUAUGUUCAGAAGAAAAGUGGUUUUUAAUAUACAUAUUAUCCAGUACAGAACAAAGUAUUUAUAAAUAGUUAAUGUUUGGGAAAAACAGCAUGAAAUUUUUAGCAACAAGAUAAAUAGAAUAUGUUCCAUGAUUAUCAAUUCAUAAUGUUUUACCUGUCAUUUAGUCUGUAUUUAUAUAGGUGUUGACGUUGCAUAAUAAAAGUGAAUGUGUCAAAAUAAAUAAAGUAGUAGUUCUCAAACUGGUUCUCUGGAACUCUCGGGUCCCUCAGGUACACAAAGGUGGGUGUGUGUUGGGAGAUGGAAUGAGGGAAUGUUGCUGCUUCAACUCAUCUGUCGUACUUUUAUCCAUUUUAUAUAUUGAGUUUCUGAUAUAUCAUUAUAAAGAAGGGUGCUUUCAAAAGUAAGAGUGCCACUAUUAUAUGAGCUUUCAAGGGUUAAAUUUUAGCCCGAAUUAUGGGGCCGCCAUGUGUUUGGAACACGAAUCUAUCUCUGAAGGUUCUCAAAUCAAAACAUUGGCUCUAUCAUCGUUUGUGGGAAUCAGAUUCUUUCUCCCGGGCCUCAUUAUCGUUAAUAAUGGAAAUGUACCUUUGGCUUUCCUAAAGGCACCUGGACUUACGAUCGCUCUCUCUGAUCUCUCUGGCUUCCCACCUGGAGAAGAGCGUGUACACGUUUCCCUGGUUCAAGCCUUGGGACUUUUCGAAGGAUGAAUGGAAGGGCAGGGCUCUGGGCAGAGUGGAGAUGGACCAGCAGGAGGCUCGCCGACCAGCCUGGAUCGAGGAGAAAGAAUGGCCAGCUUGAGGGUAGCUGGGGGUCCCGAGAUGGAGUCAUUCAGGGCACUAAGGAGUGAGAUGUGGGGACAAAGUGUUGAGUGAGCAUUGGUGAUUGCACCUCCUCCAAUCAAGCUGUGGGAUAUCUUUGAGGAGAGCCAAGCUUUCAAGUAAAAGUGAAGAGCUGGAGAGAGCUUUGAAGAGGAGGAGGGAGAAAGAAGCACGGCCUUGCUACUUGGAGAGGAUCAGAGAAGACAGGAAAAAAGGCAGUAGGAAAAGCAGCCAGAGGAUAGAGAGGCUGCUUACUAUUGUGAAAGAACACUGGAUUAGGAGUUAGACGAAAGACCGCGGUUUGAGUUUCAUCUUUGCCACCUAAACCCUUACAGGUUCUUUUCAUUUCCAUGGAAAGGUUAGAAUCAGCUUGUCAAUUUCCACAACAAAGCUAACUGGGAUUUCGCCCAUUUACAGAGGAUUGAAAGAUGGCCCCCAAAAAGGUAUGUCCAUGUCCUAAUCCCCGGAACUGUGAAAGUCACCCUAUUUGGAAAAAGAGGUCUUUGCAGAUGUAUUCAAGUUAAGGGAUCUUGAGAUGAGAGCAUCCUGAGUUAUUCAGGGGCAUCCUAAAUCCAAUGAUAAGUAUCCUUAUCGGAGGCACACACAGGAGAAAACAUACGACACACACAGAGGAGGAGGCAAUGUGAAAAUGGAGGACGAGAUUGGAGUGAUGUGGCCAAAGCCAAAGGAGCUGAGGAACCCAAAGAAUGCCAACAGCCCCCAAAAGCUGGAAGAGGCGAGGAAGGACUCUGCUCUAGAGCCACUAGAGGGAGUGAAGCCUCACUGACACCUUGGUCUCGGACUUCUGGCCUCCAGACGGUG
ensembl:lncRNA